AGAGCGAACGCUGGCGGCAUGCUUAACACAUGCAAGUCGCACGGGCACUUCGGUGUCAGUGGCGGACGGGUGAGUAACGCGUAGGUAUCUAUCCUUGGGUGGGGGACAACUGUGGGAAACUACAGCUAAUACCGCAUGAUAACUGAGGUUUAAAGGCGCAAGUCGCCUGAGGAGGAGCCUGCGUACGAUUAGCUAGUUGGUGGGGUAAAGGCCUACCAAGGCGACGAUCGUUAGCUGGUCUGAGAGGAUGAUCAGCCACAUUGGGACUGAGACACGGCCCAAACUCCUACGGGAGGCAGCAGUGGGGAAUAUUGGACAAUGGGCGCAAGCCUGAUCCAGCAAUGCCGCGUGUGUGAAGAAGGUCUUCGGAUUGUAAAGCACUUUCGACGGGACGAUGAUGACGGUACCCGUAGAAGAAGCCCGGCUAACUUCGCGCCAGCAGCCGC
rnacentral:rRNA from 1 species